rnacentral:rRNA from 1 species
AUAGUCUUUCGCCCCAUGCGCAGAUUUGACGAUCGAUUUGCACGUCAGAACCGCUGCGAGCCUCCACCAGAGUUUCCUCUGGCUUCACCCUAUCCACGCAUAGUUCACCAUCUUUCGGGUCCGAACAGUUAUGCUCUUACUCAAAUCCAUCCGAAGACAUCAGGAUCGGUCGAUGAUGCACCCGUAAGGGCUCUCACCUCCGUUCACUUUCAUUACGCUUGAGGGUUUAACACCCAAAAACUCGCAUAAAUGUUCGACUCCUUGGUCCGUGUUUCAAGACGGGUGGCUGAUGACCAUUAUGCCAGCAUCCUAGCCGAAGCGCGGUCCUCAGUCCCAGCGGCGGUAUUACACAGCAGGCUAUAACACUCCCGGGGGAGUCACGUUCCUGAAGUCUUUAUCCCGCCGCCGAAACUGAUGCUGGCCUCAACCAAGCGGAGUGCACCGGUGAGAACACCGGAUGAUCCGCAAGGCAAAGGUCUGGUCACAAGCCCUUCCCUUUCAACAAUUUCACGUACUAUUUAACCCUCUUUUCAAAGUGCUUUUCAUCUUUCGAUCACUCUACUUGUGCGCUAUCGGUCUCUGGCCGGUAUUUAGCUUUAGAAGAAAUUUACCUCCCAUUUAGAGCAGCAUUCCCAAACUACUCGACUCGUCGAAGGAGAUUUACAGAGGCUCGGCAUCCAACCGUACGGGGCUCUCACCCUCUAAGGCGUCCUGUUCCAAGGAACUCGGAAGGUACCUAACCAAAAUCAUCCUCUACAAAUUACAACUCGGACCCGAAAGCCAGAUUUCAAAUUUGAGCUGUUGCCGCUUCACUCGCCGUUACUAGGGCAU